rnacentral:rRNA from 1 species
AGAGUUUGAUCCUGGCUCAGGAUGAACGCUGGCGGCAUGCCUAAUACAUGCAAGUCGAACGAGGAUCCUUGUGGAUCCUAGUGGCGAACGGGUGAGUAACACGUAGGGAACCUGCCCGCGCACCGGGAAUACGCUCUGGAAACGGAGAACAAAUCCCGAUGUACAGGAAGGAGGCAUCUUCUUUCUGUGAAACAUCCUGUAAGGGAUGGGGCGCGGAUGGACCUGCGGUGCAUUAGUUGGUUGGCGAGGGUAAAGGCCCACCAAGACGAUGAUGCAUAGCCGGCCUGAGAGGGCGGACGGCCACAUUGGGACUGAGACACGGCCCAGACUCCUGCGGGAGGCAGCAGUAGGGAAUUUUCGUCAAUGGGCGCAAGCCUGAACGAGCGAUGCCGCGUGAGUGAAGAAGGCCUUCGGGUCGUAAAGCUCUGUUGCGGGGGAAAAAAGGCAUCUGCAGGAAAUGGUAGAUGACAGAUGGUGCCCCGCCAGAAAGUCACGGCUAACUACGUGCCAGCAGCCGCGGUAAUACGUAGGUGGCGAGCGUUAUCCGGAAUGAUUGGGCGUAAAGGGUGCGCAGGCGGUCCUGCAAGUCUGGAGUGAAACGUAUGAGCUCAACUCAUGCAUGGCUCUGGAAACUGGAGGACUGGAGAGCAGGAGAGGGCGGUGGAACUCCAUGUGUAGCGGUAAAAUGCGUAGAUAUAUGGAAGAACACCAGUGGCGAAGGCGGCCGCCUGGCCUGUUGCUGACGCUGAGGCACGAAAGCGUGGGGAGCAAA